rnacentral:rRNA from 1 species
UACGUAGGGGGCUAGCGUUGUCCGGAUUUAUUGGGCGUAAAGAGCGUGUAGGCGGCCAGAUAGGUCUGCUGUGAAAACUCGAGGCUCAACCUCGAGAUGUCGGCGGAAACCAUUUGGCUAGAGUCCGGAAGAGGAAAGUGGAAUUCCUGGUGUAGCGGUGAAAUGCGCAGAUAUCAGGAAGAACACCCGUGGCGAAGGCGGCUUUCUGGACUGCAACUGACACUGAUGAACGAAAGCCAGGGGAGCAAACGGG